UCUCUGGAAGGUUUUGCUGGUGUUUAGGAAGAUCUGGUGGGAAUGGACCGCAGUGAUAAAAGCCAUUACUGCUUCAUUUUACUGCCCACUAGUCCUUAAUUUUUCUUCCCUAGGCAACAGAAAGCACAGUUGCUAAUACCAGGGAUCAAGGUAUUAAUGGAUUUCAACUGAGUUGUGACGAUGGACUGGAUGUACCUUAUCAGUGUGAUUUACAGUCUUCUAGAGAAGCUUGGGGAAGUAUGAAACACAGAUGCAGCUCUCACUGGCCAACUAGACAGUAAAUAGAAGAAUGAUAUUUUGCCUACCAUCAUUCAGGUGACAUCAUGGACAGUAUAUACAGCUGGGGAAGAAGGAAGUGGGGGACAACUGGAGAGAUGGCUUUUUUCUUCCCAGGCCUUUACACGUGAUGGAGACCUGCUCUCCCAGAGAUGGCUGAACACUUGCCCAUGGGAACGACAAAACAUGUGGACUAAUUACCAUUACAGAAGCCAUUAUUUGUGUCAGUUAGAAGAAUAAAAAGAAGUAAAAGGGGGAGACACAAUGAAGGUCUUCUUAACCUUUAAAUCACACCUAGCCUAUCUUCAUGGAAUAAGUUUGAACUAUGAAGAGGAAGCGUAUUGGAGGAAAAGAACAAAUACAAAUGACUUAUGACAAGGAACAUCAAAGCUCUUGAACUGUGCUAAAAGUCUGGCUUUCAAUGCCUGUACAAAAAAGAUUACUUUCCUUCCUACA